UAAUACGGAGGGUGCGAGCGUUAAUCGGAAUUACUGGGCGUAAAGCGUGCGUAGGUGGUUUGUUAAGUCAGAUGUGAAAGCCCUGGGCUCAACCUGGGAACUGCAUUUGAAACUGGCAAACUAGAGUAUAGGAGAGGAAAGUGGAAUUUCUGGUGUAGCGGUGGAAUGCGUAGAUAUCAGAAGGAACAUCAAUGGCGAAGGCAGUUUUCUGGACUAAUACUGACACUGAGGUACGAAAGCGUGGGUAGCAAACAGGAUUAGAUACCCUGGUAGUCCACGCCGUAAACGAUGAUAACUAGCCGUUGGGGGGAUUUACCCUUUAGUGGCGAAGCUAACGCGUUAAGUUAUCCGCCUGGGGAGUACGGCCGCAAGGUUA
rnacentral:rRNA from 1 species